rnacentral:hammerhead_ribozyme from 1 species
AUCCAGCUGAAGAGUCCUAAAUACGAAGAAACGCGAGUUCUGGAU